GUCGACUCAAAGAAUGAAAUUCAAACAAAUCUCACCAUCGCUUCGUCGUAUAUCGAUCGUCGUGCCAAUGACCAGCUUGUUAAAUUUGUCCAUUUUCCUAGCGAAAAUUUCUCGUAGCGCCAAAGUGUCCUAACGUAGUUGUUAGAUAACAGAUGACUAUAAAAUUUCUUCGUAUAAAUAUUUACAAGGCUGCCCUGGCAUUAAAAUACCGACCACAAACUAUCAUCCGUUGCCUAGCUC